rnacentral:rRNA from 1 species
UGAGGAAUAUUGGGCAAUGCCCGCAAGGGUGACCCAGCAACGCCGCGUGGAGGAUGAAUGUCGUAAGAUUGUAAACUCCUGUUAGAGGGGAAGAAUAGUACCGGUUGGACCGGUAUAUGACUGUACCCUCAGAGAAAGCCCCGGCUAACUACGUGCCAGCAGCCGCGGUAAUACGUAGGGGGCAAGCGUUGUCCGGAUUUACUGGGUGUAAAGGGCGCGCAGGCGGGAUAAAAAGUCAGUGGUGAAAUCCUACAGCUUAACUGUAGAACUGCCUUUGAUACCUUUAGUCGUGAGUUCGGGAGAGAGAGACGGAAUUCCAGGUGUAGUGGUGAAAUACGUAGAUAUCUGGAAGAACACCAGUUGCGAAGGCGGUCUCUUGGUCCGACACUGACGCUGAGGCGCGAAAGCGUGGGGAGCAAACA